GUGCCUGCUUCCCCUUUGCCUUCCGCCAUGACUGGCAGCCGAUAAGGAAACAGUUUGCUAUAAUCCCCUCUGCUUAUACAACUUGCUGGAACAGGUUGGAACCAAUAUGGCUGACUGGAGCCUGUGCAAAAUAGACUUACUAGCCCGAGGAGCGGCCCUUUGAUGUCACAGCCCAAAUUCCCACAGCUUGUUUUAUACCACCUCCUGAAUCUGCAUGUGACCCUUGAAGCAGCAUGAAGAAGCAACAGCUCAUGACCAAGAGAUUUUCUAAACACUUCUUCGUUUCAGCCAAUCACCGUCCAGCCCGAAACUCCACUUCCAAAAUCUCUCCCUUAAAUCUACUGCUGCGAAGCAAGUAUUGGGAGACAGAUUUGAGCCCGUCUUCUGUCCCCUUGCAAGGCUGCUUGGCAAUACAUCUUUCUUGCUACAAAAAUCCAAUGCUUGGGUGUUUGGUUUUAUGUUGUGCGCAGGCAAAUGCAGCCGGUUUAGUUUGGUAACACGUGAUGUCACUUAAUACACAAGAAACGGGCAAGAUAUGGCAUCCUCAGGGAGCUGUGCCUCACUCAUUCCUAUCCAUAGACUUGCCUUCUUUCAACAACGCAAGCAAAAAGAAGGGUUCAUUUGGGUUGGUUCCAAGUCUUUGCUAUUGUGAA
rnacentral:lncRNA from 1 species